AAUGAACGCUGGCGGCGCGCUUAACACAUGCAAGUCGAGCGAGAAAGCUCCUUCGGGGGUUAGUACAGCGGCGGACGGGUGAGUAACACGUGAGAAUUUGCCCUUUAGUGAGGAAUACUCCCGAGAAAUUGGGGUUAAUACCGCAUAAGUCCCUUCGGGGAGAAAGAUGGCCUCUUUGCUGUCGCUAAAGGAUAAGCUUGCGGACUAUUAGCUUGUUGGUGGGGUAAAGGCCUACCAAGGCUUUGAUGGAUAGCCGGCCUGAGAGGGUGAUCGGCCACACUGGAACUUAGACACGGUCCAG
rnacentral:rRNA from 1 species